rnacentral:rRNA from 1 species
GACGAACGCUGGCGGCGUGCUUAACACAUGCAAGUCGAACGAAGAGCGACGGAAGCUUGCUUCUAUCAAUCUUAGUGGCGAACGGGUGAGUAACGCGUAAUCAACCUGCCCUUCAGAGGGGGACAACAGUUGGAAACGACUGCUAAUACCGCAUACGAUCUGACCUCGGCAUCGAGGAUGGAUGAAAGGUGGCCUCUAUGUAUAAGCUAUCACUGAAGGAGGGGAUUGCGUCUGAUUAGCUAGUUGGAGGGGUAACGGCCCACCAAGGCGAUGAUCAGUAGCCGGUCUGAGAGGAUGAACGGCCACAUUGGGACUGAGACACGGCCCAGACUCCUACGGGAGGCAGCAGUGGGGAAUCUUCCGCAAUGGACGAAAGUCUGACGGAGCAACGCCGCGUGAGUGAUGACGGCCUUCGGGUUGUAAAGCUCUGUUAAUCGGGACGAAAGGCCUUCUUGCGAACAGU